rnacentral:rRNA from 1 species
AUUGAACGCUGGCGGCAGGCCUAACACAUGCAAGUCGAGCGGAGCGGCGGACGGGCGAGUAAUGCCUAGGAAUCUGCCUGGUAGUGGGGGAUAACGUCCGGAAACGGGCGCUAAUACCGCAUACUAUCAGAUGAGCCUAGGUCGGAUAAGCUAGUUGGUGGGGUAAAGGCCUACCAAGUCGACGAUCCGUAACUGGUCUGGGAGGAUGAGCAGGCACACUGGAACUGAGACACGGUCCAGACUCCUACGGGAGGCGUGAGUGGGGAAUAUUGGACAAUGAGCGAAAGCCUGAGCCAGCCAUGCCGGGUGUGUUAAGAAGGUCUUCGGAUUGUAAAGCACUUUAAGUUGUGAGGCGUUACCAACAGAAUAAGCACCGGCUAACUUCGUGCCAGCAGCCGCGGUAAUAC